GAUGAACGCUGGCGGUGUGCCUAAUACAUGCAAGUCGAGCGGUAACACUUCGGGUGACGAGCGGCGGACGGCUGAGUAACGCGUAGGAACAUACCCCGAACUGAGGGAUAAGCAUCGGAAACGGUGUCUAAUACCGCAUGUGAUCUUCGGAUUAAAGCUUCGGCGGUUUGGGAAUGGCCUGCGUAUGAUUAGGUAGUUGGUGAGGUAAAAGCUCACCAAGCCGACGAUCAUUAGCUGGUCUGAGAGGAUGAUCAGCCAGACUGGGACUGA
rnacentral:rRNA from 1 species